UGCGUAGGUGGCAAGGCAAGUCUGAAGUGAAAAUCCGGGGCUCAACCCCGGAACUGCUUUGGAAACUGUUUAGCUGGAGUACAGGAGAGGUAAGCGGAAUUCCUAGUGUAGCGGUGAAAUGCGUAGAUAUUAGGAGGAACACCAGUGGCGAAGGCGACUUACUGGACUGCUACUGACACUGAGGCACGAAAGCGUGGGGAGCAAACA
rnacentral:rRNA from 1 species